GACGAACCGUGCGAACGUUAUUCGGAAUCACUGGGCUUAAAGCGCGUGUAGGCGGCUCGGCGCGUCGGCAGCUGAAAUCCCCCGGCUCAACCGGGGAAGGGGCGCCGAUACGGCCGGGCUGGAGGGGGGUAGGGGGCGCUGGAACUCACGGUGGAGCGGUGAAAUGCGUUGAGAUCGUGAGGAACGCCCGCGGCGAAAGCGAGCGCCUGGACCCUUUCUGACGCUGAGACGCGAAAGCCAGGGGAGCGAACGGG
rnacentral:rRNA from 1 species